UUUUUAAUUACUGAGGGAAAAUAUAAACAUAAGCAAAAAAAAAAAAAGCCUCCCCUGCAGGCGCGAGCGGGGGUGGCGAGGAGGCCGACGAAGGCGGUAAUGCAACCCUAAUGCAUAGAUAGCUGACAUCAACUUCCGUCAGGCAGCUCCUGGAGAUCGAACCUUUCGAUUGUAACUGGGACAAUUUGCAUAGUGAUUCCCUUUCAGAGCUUUCCCGGGUCCAUAACAAGCCCAGGCAGCUAUUCAAAUGCAAGUUGCAUCCCCAAAUGCGAGGCUGGCCUGACCAAAAAGAGCCAGUCGGCGCCCGGAAGAGGCGAGACUCGCGCUUGGGUUCUCAAUCCUUCUCUUUUCUCCUUUCUUUUUCCCUUUCUCCUCUCCGGUUCCUGAUUUAGCUGGGAGCUGUUUAUUUAUGGCUGCAAAUGUGUGUGUUCAAGAGAGAGAGGGAAUUGAUCUUUGCCUGGACUUAAAGAUGGAGCCGAAGAAGCUGGAGGGAAUUUGGGCUUGUGCGUCUGGCCCAGACCCUGUGCGCCGAGCCCGAGGUCUAUCCUCCCCGCACCUCUCACCUCGCGACCUUGCAGGAAUCCGCGGGCCCGGAUGCUGCCCAGCUGACCCUCCUGCCCCGGGCCUGGCUGCAGAGAAAGUCUUCGGGCAGGAGGCCAUCCUGUUCCUGUCUUUAAAAUGAGCACAAUAAAAGGGGGCAAAUCCUCGAACGCGAACCUGAUCUCAUGUCACAGAAGCAACUUGCCAUGAAAUCCGCUAAUGCGCUGCGACUCGCCCACCAGGCAUCUGGGGAAAAGACGCCCUGACUCAAGGGUGUUCUGGCCCCGCACGACGGGGGGCGAAGAGAGACAAAAGUCGAGCCUAACAGCAGGCGGCUGCUGAGCUGGCGGGUCUUGGGCCACUGCUAGUCCAGCGUUGGCGUCCAGCGGGGCCUGUCACCUUUACAAGUAACAAGGGACCAUAUCCGCUUCUCCUUAAGCCCUGGACCCCAAGGGGAGGCCAGGACGACCUUGCAGGAGCCAUGCCCCCUGGGGAUUCUAUGGAGGAGAUUGUUUGGUUGGGUUUCAUUUGCAUCAAUACCAGGAGAUGAACCCUCUGGGUUUGGCUUCAGAACAAACGGAGGACCAAUUAACGCCUGUACAAAUUAGUCCCUGGCGUGUGCAACCCGCCAAACAACGCCAGUUCCAAAUCGGAAGGCACGUUUAGGGACUCUCAGGGACCCGGCUUGGUAGUUAUUUUUCCAAUGGUGCUGUUAAGUGUGAGUGAAGCUAUUUGCACUCUCGCGGGCCUCGCUCCAAGACCCCUGGCACGAUGGGGAGCCACUUUGUUCCGGAGGAAGGCAGCGGAUGAAUAGGAACCCUGGCUGCGCACAUGGACCCUAACCCAAGAGCAGCAGCAGCAGCAGCAGCGGAAAGACACGGGUAGUCUGAUUCGGCUUGGGGAACGGAAGGGGAGUGUAAGAUGAGAUACACACCGGAUUUUUUUAGUUUUUCCUUUUUUGUUUUUAACGUAGAUAAAUAACCCCAUCGUCCGUGUAAUCAGCACGUUCCCAAUGAAGUCGUUUUCCUAGAAUGCGCUCUCCGCCUGCCACACUUGAGGAAUCCAGCCCACAGAGGUUUCGGAAACCCAGUUUGAGUGAUUCCAGCCUAGACUGAAACCCUGAGAGCCUCCCAGGAAAGAGAGCCCGGCCUGGGCCAAGCAGUCGGACACACACACACACACACACACACACACACACACACACACACACACACACACGGACUGCGUAGCUCUUCGCAGGAUCGAAGGCUGGAUGCGGAUCUGGGAGGCGGUGGCUAAGCGAACCAGGAAGACUGUGACGGAAACCAAUACAGCAGUGUCAUCUUGAAAGUUAUUUGGAAGAACAGGACCUGGAGUCUGGGUUUGAAUCAAAAAAUUGUGAGCAAGGGACAGAUCACCCUGUAUUUCUCUGGAACGAGGCAGAACUGAGACCUGCUCAGCUGAACCAGCGUGGCCACAUAUUGGGGACUAGGAAAUUGUUCUCAGACACUGUAGCACACACAUCCUCUGACAGCGAGCUCACUCCUGCGCAGUGGGCUUCUGGUUCUGCCACUGCACUCCACAAACGCCCUACAGGCCUCCUCCAGGUUUUGCCAGGCAAAUGAAACGAGCACAACUCGAUAGUAAAUUAUUUUGUUCAGCCUUCUCUCUUUUUAUGAAAAUAAGAGGCAACACUUUGUCAUUUUUAAUCACAUAAGCAGACAAUAAAUCUAAUUUUGAUAUUGAUU
rnacentral:lncRNA from 1 species